GCACAUUCACAGAACUGUUAUUUAAUGUGCAUUGAUCUAAUGAAUAAAUACCGACAUAUUGUCAGUGGGAAAACAUUAAUUGCACUCAUGUCAGCAAUGCUGCCUGAAAGCUGUGGGGAGAAGGACUCGCCUUUCUCGGUCUUUCUUCGGUUUUUGUCACAUGCAUACAUGAUGCUGAAACAUAUCCGUCCGGCAUUUGACUGAUAUGUUGAAUGACAUUUGAGGCUUUUCUUCUUUUCUUCUACCUUCGACACUGAAGACCAAGCACCAUCUAUCUAAUCUCUGACACAACAACAAAUCACACACAUCGGCUUACUCAAGUUCACACACAUCCCGAAAAUGGUUU